rnacentral:rRNA from 1 species
AGUGAACGCUGGCGGUAGGCCUAACACAUGCAAGUCGAACGGCAGCACAGUAAGAGCUUGCUCUUACGGGUGGCGAGUGGCGGACGGGUGAGGAGUACAUCGGAAUCUACUUUUUCGUGGGGGAUAACGUAGGGAAACUUACGCUAAUACCGCAUACGACCUACGGGUGAAAGCAGGGGAUCUUCGGACCUUGCGCGAUUGAAUGAGCCGAUGUCGGAUUAGCUAGUUGGCGGGGUAAAGGCCCACCAAGGGGACGAUCCGUAGCUGGUCUGAGAGGAUGAUCGGCCACACUGGAACUGAGACACGGUCCAGACUCCUACGGGAGGCAGCAGUGGGGAAUAUUGGACAAUGGGCGCAAGCCUGAUCCAGCCAUACCGCGUGGGUGAAGAAGGCCUUCGGGUUGUAAAGCCCUUUUGUUGGGAAAGAAAAGCAGCAGGUUAAUACCCCGCUGUUCUGACGGUACCCAAAGAAUAAGCACCGGCUAACUUCGUG